rnacentral:misc_RNA from 1 species
CAGCCGCACUAUACCACCAUUUCCCUUUCCAAUAACUUUUACUGCUUCAAAAUCAGCUAAGCAUAACUGGUUGUCUGAUGGCUGUAUAACUGAAGGAGCUGCAACUUCACUCUGCGAAACAAUUCGAACUCCAUCUCUAUUCACCAGAAGAUCUCCAUCCUUAAAUGUUCCUGAUUCAGUCAGGAAUUUGGAGAGAGCAACUUCAUCAGGAGGAGGAAGAGAGAGUUUAAGAUUAGGUGCAAAAGAUCCUUUCUUCAUAGCUAAAUCUUGUAAAAUCACAGUAAAAAUUGCUUCUUGGGAAACUUGGGUUCUUGAAUUCUUCUUAAAAAUCACUUUUUUAUUGAAAUCUUGAAUUCUUCUUAAAAAUCACUUUUUUAUUGAAA